rnacentral:lncRNA from 1 species
CAGUAACUAUAAAAAUGGAAGAGAGAGAUACAGUUGUGAUUUUUAAGUUAAGAGUUUCAUAGCACAGGCUUUUGGAUCAAAAUAAAGGUAAUUUUUUUGAGAAAUAUAUAUGCAUAUAUUUUAGUGAUAAUAGCUCUGGUCUUAGAAAUUACACUUAAUUUCAAUUACCCCCUAAAAGAUGACUUGGUAUUUAAAUUUGGGAUAUGAUGGGCAGCAUGGAUAUUAUGGUACUGACCUUUUGAAGUUGCCCAUUGAAAUGUGAUUUUUUUUCUAUUUUAUGGGUGCUAGGAAGCACAUGUAAGAUACUAUAUUCUUAAAAUGUUUCUUUUUCUACAGUAUCAGUUCAUCUUUUCACAGAAAUGUUACUUAUUCUUACUACCUAAAGAAUGGUUUGUGUUGGAUGCUGAUGAAAUUAUAUAUCUAUAGAUAGGGAUAUAGAAUUAGUACUAGAUAUUCAAUGAAAAUAACCAUUGUGAAGAAAGACUUCAAAUUACAUAAGCAUCAUUUUAAUAUGGGAAAGACCUAUUUAUACAAAAGCCAUAUUUCAUGGAAAAUUUAGAAGUCUCAUUUUAUCAAGAAUUUUAUGAUGAUUUGUAUUUGUUACAAAAGUCCUAUCAUUCUUGAUCAUUUGGCAGUAUUAACUGAAAUUCCAUAUAUGAAAAUCAAAAUAUCCUUUUCAUCAAUUAUGCAGCAUGUGUGAUUUUUUAAAAAGGUGCACAUUAAUAAAAAAUGACUUAGUCAUUAUUAAUUCUUAACUCACUGGAAUAUCUCUCAGAACUUCUUCCUUGACAUGGUCCUUUGGAAAGUUGUGUUCAACCGAGACAAACAAGGAGAGUAUCGGUUCAGCACCACACAGCCACCGCAGGAGUCAGUGGAUCGGUGGGGAAAAUGCUGCUUACCCUGGGCCCUGGGCUGUAGAAAGAAGACACCAAAGGCAAAGUACAUGUAUCUGGCGCAGGAGCUCUUGGUUGAUCCAGAAUGGCCACCAAAACCUCAGACAACCACAGAAGCUAAAGCUUUAGUUAAGGAGAAUGGAUCAUGUCAAAUCAUCACCAUAACAUAGCAGUGAAUCAGUCUCAGUGGUAUUGCUGAUAGCAGUAUUCAGGAAUAUGUGAUUUUAGGAGUUUCUGAUCCUGUGUGUCAGAAUGGCACUAGUUCAGUUUAUGUCCCUUCUGAUAUAGUAGCUUAUUUGACAGCUUUGCUCUUCCUUAAAAUAAAAACAGAAAAAUAUAUCGUCCUAACAGUUAAAUUAACAAUCAAUCCAUAAAGUCCUAUAUCUUCAUUCAGCAACCCAAAUAUUACAUACAUUUCCAGAAUUUUCUUGAUUGUUACUUUCAGUGAUAUUCUUUAUAUUGGGUACAGGAGAAGUUUGGUGUUUGGUAGGUUUUUCAACAUUAGUUUUUGAGACUAGUUUACCUCUUCACAUUUAUGCUCACAACCCUCUUGUUAGAAAAGUCUGUGUUUAUAUACAGGCUGUAAGUUUGUGAUUGAUAAAAAGAAGAUGAGUGUUAAUUAGCCUCCAGUGAAAAUAUACUGAAAGCCUGUUUUCAUUUGAUUCCAAUGUUUCUUCCAAAGAAUUCUGUAUAAACAUAUGCCAAUUCCCUAUGAUGGUCUAGAGUUAGGAAUGAGUGUUUAUGGUGUUGCUUAUAGAACAACUCAGGUAAUCUCCAUUUCUGGUUUUAUAUUUUCUGUACAAACUGCCUGGGUUUUAUUUUUCUAAUCAGCAAGGUGCUUCACUGCCUUCUUGAGACGCCUCUCAAAGCUCUUAAAUGGCUCCUGUGCUAUGUGUGGUGUUGGCAGUCUAAUUUGCUUCUGUUAAAUGUUGUAGAACCUUUUUCACUAGGAAAUAAGAUUCAUUUCUUUCGGCAGUAGAUGUAGAUUCAUCUUUUAACGUUUCUUCAAAUUUGUUUCUGUCAGGCUUUGUGUUAUUUUAAAUGGUUUUUUAAAAUUUUCUUCUAUGUUUUCAAUUACCUAAAGACAUAGGAUAAUAGUUUUUUUUAAGUUAGAAUUUUACCUCAUAAAAUUUUUUGAGGUUUGAUGUAUGUCUCUGUCUUAUCAAUAAUGAGGCUUAAAAAAUACUGGAUUUGAAUGGCUGCCGUUUUUUCAAAGCAAUAUGAAUUUGAUGAGUUUGUUUUAUGCCAUUAGGUGGCGCCAGAGGUCAGAACAUGUCUAUUUUGAAUUGGAUCGUUACAAAUGAGCAUAUUUGAUGCGGAAAUUUCUGGGAGAAAAAAAAUUGAGGAAAUAAAGUUAAAAAAUUGACAUUCAUUGAGCCAAAAGAGAUGUGGAGAAACAUUUUUCACCUUUCUGUUUGGCCUGAUUAACAUUUAAAUUCUUGCCAAAAUUAAGGUAACUUUUAAAAAACACCUUUUAUAGGUGGAUCCAGCAGUCUGGCAACGCCCACAGUUACCACAACACAGAAAACUGAUCGUGCUAUAAAAUGGACGCUAAACUAUGAAAACAGUGUGACAUUGUUCUCUGUUCUUCCAGAGCCAGUAACAUGCUUGCUCGUGCUUUCUACUUCUAGCUGAUCAUUCUUUUCCCAACAUAUAUUUACAAAUUUACCAAAUUUUACCUAGAAUUUUAGGACCAAAUGGUUCUCACUCUUUAUGCUGCAAAGACCUGGAUGAUGUUUGGUAACUAUAGAAAAAUAGAAAUUACACUCAGGAUCACUGUUACUGCUAUUGCCACUGAUGAUUCCUGCAAAAAUAUAAUCGAAGUUUUCCAUCAAAUGUAUAAUAUGCUAUUAAUACACAUUAGAUGAUAACAGUUGUUCCAUGAAUGAUUCUAUGAAGCUAUGCAUCUUAGACCUCUUGAGCUGUGAAUUAGCACUAUUUUCUAUAGUUACUUAUUCUCUGGAUCAUUUUAUAAUUUCCAUAUUAAUUUCAAAUAUGCUCGUGUUAUUCUUCAGUGAUUUCCACAAUUGUGCAUUUUAUUCUUUGGUUUAAGUACUGAAGCAUAUAAUGAAAGUAAUUGCUAAGUAGCAGCUUAAAAAUUCAAUUAUCCGAUUGUAUUUAACAUCUUUAAGAGCAUGAUCAUAAAGAGCUAUUUUUGACACCCCCCCCCCACUUUUUUAACAUUUAGAGUUAGUAAGGGUUUUAUAUCUCUUCUGUCCAUAUUGUUUUCAAAGGAAUGAGGUGUUUAGGUGGCUGGAAAAGCAUUUGUAGGAAGUUAGAUUUGAAUAUAGACAAGGUGGGUUAUUCACGUUGAGAAUGUUAUUUGAAGAAUGCCUGUGAAGCCAGGUGUGGGUUCUACUCAGUGCCAUAGAUAGACUGAGUCUUCUCUCGUAGGUUACCAUUACAUAGUAAUUUUGAUUCUGAAUUUCACAUUAAAUUAUUUGAGUUUAUACAGACCUAAAUUUUAAAAUCUGUACAUAUAUUAUUUUGAUGUAUUAAGAUGAAUAUUGCUGAUUUAAAUUUUAUUUAUGCACAUACUUAAAGGACAGAAAUGUCUGGGAAAGUAAUUGUUAAAUAAUGAUAUGUAACUUUUUAACUUUUUAAAUAAAUAACAAGAUUUUUAA